CAUAAACUCUAAGACUCUUCAAAGACACAAAAAGAUGGAAUUUGGAGGACAAGACAAGAGAUACUAAGAAGAGUAAAGCCAAUAAACAGACUGCAGCACAGAAAGGGUAAGUGAUACUACAUCACAGUGAGAUGAUUAAAGACAUCCCAGUACUAGGUUCGAAAGAUGGAAAAAUCAUAUAGGAGAGAGGAUGUAACCAUGUUGUACUAGAGGAAGAAAGAUUCAAGGAGGAGGAACAUAGUUAAAAAAUUAUGUUCCUAAAUCCCAUAUAUGGC
rnacentral:lncRNA from 1 species